GUUGUUUGUGCAAACAAAAAAGUGGUUCGAUGUUAUGUAAUGGAAAUAGGUGUAAAUGUAGAUGGACUGGUUACAUGACUGCACUGAUUCAUAAGGAGAAAAAAAAAAGAAGCAGAAAUAGGAAAAAAAAAACUCGAUUUUUUUCUUGCCACAAAAACAAAAGUUCCCAUCAAAGGUUGCCACCAGGUUUCAAUGAUGCCGAUAGUAAUCACUCUUGUAUCACGUAGCUUGUGUUUAGUGUAGUUUUACUCAUUUUUUCAAUGCUUUUUAAGCAUGUGUUUUUUUACUCUUCUUUUGUCUCUAGAUGAAACAGAUCCUUACUUUUACCACCAUCCCCCACCACCCCACUGACAGUUGGCCACACCCCACCGUGGAUAACUCAAAGUUCUGCUAAACCUCAUCACCCACAUUCUUCCUGACGCUUUACACACACAGCCAGCCAGCACCCGAGAGUGGAAAAUGGAAGGAAAAGCGACCAUGCCUCAUGGUGUAGUCCAAGCACCUACAUACCUGGCUUGGUCCAUCUUUAACACACUAUGCUGCUGUCUGCCUAUUGGAAUCAUUGCAAUUGUGUUCUCCUGCAGGACUGACACGGCCAACACUAUUGGUGAUUCUCCAAGAGCUAAUGCUCACUCCAGAAUGGCCAAAAAGCUGAAUAUCGCCGCACUGGUCAUUGGAAUCAUUUUCGUCGUCAUAUACAUCAUACUUUAUGUGAUUGCACAGCGACAACAUUAAUGAAUACAUGUUAAAAGGCACUAAAGCCAAUUCAUACAAAGUUAUGGUUACAGAAACUCUGGAAAUGUUAUCCAGCAGUCUUACAUCUUACUUGUGCUUUUUUACCUACUUCUAUUAUCCAUAAUAAAAAUUGAUUGUAUCUUUCAAAGCUUCUAAUCAUUUCUUGACCAAAGACUCAGCAUUGUAUUGCAGUUAUGUUUUUAUACAAAAUCUUUGGCAUAUCAUUUAAUAAUAAUGUAUCCUAGUUUUAAAUAUAUAUAUAUGAUAAAUGCAUGAGAUGUUUCUUUAUAUAUCUGUCAACAUUUGUUUUACACUAAGGACUAAUUCUCUUAUGAACACUGUGUCUUAAACAGACUCUGUAGUCAAUUUUAUAUUUUUUUAUAAUACAUUUUAUACCUUUUUUUCCUACUUUUUAAAAAAAUAUGAAUAAAAAAGGAUAACACUA